GGUAGACAGAGUACUGACAGUAUGAAGGGAGGUAGACAGAGUACUGACAGUAUGAAGGGAGGUAGACAGAGUACUACAGUAUGAUGGAGGUAGACAGAGUACUGACAGUAUGAUGGAGGUAGACAGAGUACUGACAGUAUGAAGGGAGGUAGACAGAGUACUGACAGUAUGAUGGGAGGUAGACAGAGUACUACAGUAUGAUGGAGGUAGACAGAGUACUGA